GCUGGGGUGGGAAAGAGAAGAGGGUGGAUUCAAGAUUGUGGUGGACUUCGGGGGCAGGGUUUGGGUUUGUUUCUGGAGAGGUGGAUCCGAAAAUUUUGAUAGAGUUUGGGGGAUAGUUUUCAGCAGGAAAAGAGGAAAUAGCCGCCUCUGUUGUAGAUAGUGACAAUCCAAUUGGUCAUAUAAUUUUCGCAACCAUAGGAGGCAAAAAUGGAGAGCCCAAACAGAUUCAAAGAAGUGAGCUCUCUAUCGAGACCAAACACUAAUGGUAAUGAGUUUCCACUUUCAAAUGCAAGCAUUCAAGAGUAUGUCCCUAGCUGGAAAGCAAAUUUGAUGGAGAAGUACAAGAGAAAGCCAUCAAGGAAUUGUUUGAGAAAUUAAAAGACAUAGGAGACGAGGACAUCCACGCCUUC